GAUGGCACGAUGUCGCUGGGUCAUUGAUUCAGGUGACAACAAUAAAAAAAUUCGUUUGAAGUUUACAAACAUUCGUCUAGCCACUGAUCCAAACUGCCUUCAAGAAUAUGUACAGUUCCGAGAUUCACCUUUGGGCGUGUCAGGUCAGACACUACAUUAUUGUGGAAGAACAAUACACACUGGAUAUGAUUCGGUUGGUCGAGUUAUCAUGGUGGAUUACAAUGUUCCAGCAGGGUCAAGGUCACCAGGAUUCCAACUCUCAUAUAUGGUAGCAGAUUGUAAUCGUAAUAUAACAGCUGAUAACGGUCAACUUGUUAGUCCGGGUUAUCCAGGAAACUAUCCUGUUAAUCUGGACUGUGAUAUUAGAAUCAGUGCACCAGCAGGAAGAACGUUAGCCUUGUAUUUUAACAGGUUCUCUAUCGAAUCACAUUCCAGCUGUAACUACGAUUAUCUAGAGAUACAUAAUGGGUCGAGUCCUAGUGACGGGGUUAUAGCUAAAUUAUGUGGCAGAACGUUACCUGAUACUGUCUUUAUUCCAACCAAUCAAAUUUAUCUAAAUUUCAAAACAGAUUUAUCUGUACGAAGACUGGGAUAUGAUAUAACAUUCACUUCAACAUCCGCUGGUUUGGGAUGUGGAGGUAGUCUGACGGGAAUCAACGGAAGUCUGACCAAUCCAAAUUUUCCAGGAAAUUUCUCGGAUGUGCAGACGUGUCAAUGGUCGAUAACUGUACCAGCACGAAGAACGAUAACAUUAACAUUUACAACGCUAAGUGUAAUAGGCGUGGCUGAUUGUUCCAACAAUUACGUGUCCGUCUACAAUGGUAACAAUGCGUUAUCAUCAACACCAACAUUCGGCAGAUACUGUGGUGAUACUGAUGUUGCCAGCAUGACGACGACAUCGAAUACAGCUUAUGUUAAAUAUGUUUCAACUGGUUCCAGUAACGCACCCGUGUUCAGGCUAACUUAUACCAGUUAGUACGAACAAGUGUCAA